rnacentral:misc_RNA from 1 species
GAUGAAGAACGUAGCGAAAUGCGAUACGUAAUGUGAAUUGCAGAAUUCAGUGAAUCAUCGAGUCUUUGAACGCACAUUGCGCCCCCUGGUAUUCCGGGGGGCAUGCCUGUCCGAGCGUCAUUGCUGCCCUCAAGCACGGCUUGUGUGUUGGGCCUCCGUCCUCCUCCCGGGGGACGGGCCCGAAAGGCAGCGGCGGCACCGCGUCCGGUCCUCGAGCGUAUGGGGCUUCGUCACCCGCUCUUGUAGGCCCGGCCGGCGCUGGCCGACGCGAAAGCAACCAUUUUUUCUCCAGGUUGACCUCGGAUCAGGUAGGGAUACCCGCUGAACUUAAGCAUAUCAAUAAGCGGAGGA